CACGUAGGGCGCAAGCGUUGUCCGGAAUUAUUGGGCGUAAAGAGCUCGUAGGCGGUCUGUUGCGUCCGCUGUGAAAACUCGGGGCUUAACCCCGAGCCUGCAGUGGAUACGGGCAGACUAGAGGUAGGUAGGGGAGAAUGGAAUUCCCGGUGUAGCGGUGAAAUGCGCAGAUAUCGGGAGGAACACCUGUGGCGAAAGCGGCUCACUGGACCGCAACUGACGCUGAGGCGCGAAAGCUAGGGGAGCAAACAGG
rnacentral:rRNA from 1 species